rnacentral:rRNA from 1 species
AAAUUGAAGAGUUUGAUCAUGGCUCAGAUUGAACGCUGGCGGCAGGCCUAACACAUGCAAGUCGAACGGUAACAGGAAACAGCUUGCUGUUUCGCUGACGAGUGGCGGACGGGUGAGUAAUGUCUGGGAAACUGCCUGAUGGAGGGGGAUAACUACUGGAAACGGUAGCUAAUACCGCAUAAUGUCGCAAGACUAAAGAGGGGGACCUUCGGGCCUCUUGCCAUCGGAUGUGCCCAGAUGGGAUUAGCUAGUAGGUG